AGAGUUCUGGGCCGCACGCGCGUUACACUGACAGAGCCAGCGAGUACUUCCUUGACUUAAAAGUCCGGGUAAUCUUGUUAAACUCUGUCGUGCUGGGGAUAGAGCAUUGCAAUUAUUGCUCUUCAACGAGGAAUCCCUAGUAAGCGCAAGUCAUCAGCUUGCGUUGAUUACGUCCCUGCCCUUUGUACACACCGCCCGUCGCUACUACCGAUUGAAUGGCUCAGUGAGGCUUUCGGACUGAUCUAAGGGAGGAGGCAACUCUUCCCCCUGGUCGGAAAGUUAUCCAAACUCGGUCAUUUAGAGGAAGUAAAAGUCGUAACAAGGUCUCCGUUGGUGAACCAGCGGAGGGAUCAUUACUGAGUUUACGCUCUAUAACCCUUUGUGAACAUACCUAUAACUGUUGCUUCGGCGGGUAGGGUCUCCGUGACCCUCCCGGCCUCCCGCCCCCGGGCGGGUCGGCGCCCGCCGGAGGAUAACCAAACUCUGAUUUAACGACGUUUCUUCUGAGUGGUACAAGCAAAUAAUCAAAACUUUUAACAACGGAUCUCUUGGUUCUGGCAUCGAUGAAGAACGCAGCGAAAUGCGAUAAGUAAUGUGAAUUGCAGAAUUCAGUGAAUCAUCGAAUCUUUGAACGCACAUUGCGCCCGCCAGCAUUCUGGCGGGCAUGCCUGUUCGAGCGUCAUUUCACCCUCAAGCUCUGCUUGGUGUUGGGGCCCUACACUGAUGUAGGCCCUCCAAGGGAGUGGCGGAACCUCCCGGAGCCUCCUUUGCGUAA
rnacentral:rRNA from 1 species